GAUGAACGCUAGCUACAGGCUUAACACAUGCAAGUCGAGGGACCGGCGCACGGGUGAGUAACACGUAUCCAACCUGCCCUUUACUCGGGGAUAGCCUUUCGAAAGAAAGAUUAAUACCCGAUAUAAAGGAUGGGGAUGCGUUCUAUUAGGUUGUUGGUGAGGUAACGGCUCACCAAGCCUUCGAUGGAUAGGUGUUAUGAUAGGCAGGGCCCCCACAAUUGAACUGAGGCACGGUCCAAACUCCGACGUGAGGCAGCAGUAAGGAAUAUUGGUGAAUGGGCGCUAGCCUGAACCAGCCAAGUAGCGUGAAGGAUGAAGGCUUAUGGGUCGUAAACUUCUGUUAUAUAAGAAAAUGUAUUAUAUGAAUAAGGAUCGGCUAACUCCGUGCCAGCCGCCGCGGUAAUUC
rnacentral:rRNA from 1 species